rnacentral:lncRNA from 10 species
AGAAUUAGAAAAGUCCCCCUGGCUGGAAACAGAGUUUGUAGUGGACCUACUUGGGUCUAAAGCUUUCAAAUAGGAAGUAACAGUUGGGUUGGAAGAUCCCAUGAAAGGCGGUUGGGUUCCCCAAGAGAGGCACCUGCCAUCGCGGUCACCAGGCCCCACUGAGAACAGGCCAGGUGCCAACUGAACAGCAUAGUGAAGAGGGGCUGAAAUUCAUUUAAGGUCAAGCCAGCCUAUAUGGCUUGGUGAGGAAUAUUUUGGACAAACUGAGAAGGACAGAAGGCAAAGGCAAGGGCAGCUUCUGGUUUUCUAGGAGUCUGAGCCAAAGAAACUUCCAGGGUGGAGCUGGUAUAGGGAAAAGCUCUCAUUUUAAUAAAGCUUUAAGGGGAUUUUUGAUUUGGGAUUUUUACUUCCCCUGGACCUGGAGGAAGAGAAAGGAAGGUCAAUGAGAGCGUGAUGACGGUGCAGAGGCACCUAGGCAAAGCUCUGUGGCCUUUGGGAAAAGACACUACUUGGCUCAGGGCAUUAAAUACAUGUGUGACCUUAAUUCUUCUGUCAAAACAACAACAACAAAAUCCCCAAACUAUGAAAAGCCACAGACUUCUAGGAAUAGAAGACAAAAGGAGGAAGGAGGAGGAGGAGGAAGAUACCAAGGGGAAAAUGAUGUGAAAAGCUGAUUUUGUAGCCCUGAGCAUAUAGGAAAAGCCUCCAUGGUGAUGACUUCUUUGAAUAAAUGUUGCUUAAAGAAAAAGAAGGCACCAGAAAGAGCAGAAAACAACUGGGUGAAUGAAAGAAGAAUGUCAUGCAGAGGAGAGGUAUGUGCAAAUGCAGAUAUUCCAUGAAAAGCUAUAGCUUUUUUUUUUUUUUUUUUCUUUAGGGAGUUUCACUCUUGUUGCCCAGGCUGGAGUGCCAUGGCAUGAUCUCAGCUCACUGCAACCUCCACCUCCCAGGUUCAAGCGAUUCUCCUGUGUCAGCCUCCUGAGUAGGUAGGAUUACAGGCACCCACCACCAUGACUGGCUAAUUUUUGUAUUUUUAGUAGAGACAGGGCUUCACCAUGUUAGCCAGGCUGGUCCCAAACUCCUGACCUCAGGAGAUCUACCCACCUCAGCCUCCCAAAAGUGCUGGGAUUAUAGGCGUGUGCCACCACACCUGGCUAAUUUUGUCUUUUUAGUAGAGACAGCGUUUCAUCAUGUUGUUCAGGCUGGUCUCGAACUCCUGACCUCAGGUGAUCCACCCACCUUGGGCUCCCAAGGUGCUGGGAUUACAGGCGCGAGCCACCGCCUGUAUAGAUUUUAUGUGAGUAUAAUUGUAAUUUUGUGAAACAUGUAUCUACAUUCAUAAUAAUUAGAAGAAAAUUUAGAAUAAUUAAAAUAAAUUGUUCGGUAAAUAUUUAAAGAUACUUAAUCACCUAAAAAGUAUAAAACAGCCUAUAAUCCCAGCACUUUGGGAGGCCGAAGAAGGUGGAUUGUUUGAGUUCAGGAGUUUGAUACCUGCCUGGGCAACAUGGCAAAACCGAAUCCCUAGAAAAAAAAAUACAGAAAAUUAGUCAGGUGUGGUGGCGUGCCUGUGAUCCCAGCUACUCAGGAAACUGAGGUGGGAGGAUCGCUUGAGCCCAGGAGGUUGAGACUACAGUGAGCUGUGGUUGUGCCACUGCACUCCAGCCUGGGCAACAGAGCAAGACCCUGUCUCAAAAACAACAACAACAACAACAACUGUUUAAACAAAAAAAGACAAAACUGUGUUCCCAUAGGAACGUUGUUUUUGUUGAGUCCCAGGCUAUAACUUUUUUUACAAUUUUAUUUUAUUUACUUAUUUAUUUAGGAUACAGAGUUUUACUGUCAGAGGCUGGAGUGCAGUGGCACAAUCUCAGCUCACAGCAACCUCUGCCUCCCGGGUUCAAGGAAUUCUCCUGUCUCAGCCUUCCGAAUAGCUGGAGUUACAGGCACCCGCCACUACGCCUGGCUAAUUUUUGUGUUUUCAGUAGAGACAGGGUUUCACCAUGUUUGCCAGGCUAGUCUUGAGCUGCCGACCUCAGGUUAUCUGCCCAUCUCGGCCUCCCAAAGUGCUGGGAUUACAGGUGUGAGCCACAGCGCCUGGCCCGAGGCUAUUAUUUUUGAUAAGAAAAUGUUUUGUGAUUUUGCAUUUGCCUAGGAAGGCAAUGACUGACACAUCUGACACAUUUAUAAUCACAAAUUAAAACAAAAGCACCAGAACUCCCCAGGUCAGAUAGGAUGCUGGGUAUGCCAAAUUGGAGCAUGCAGGAUGUCAGACGACUUCUCUGAGGGCACUUAUAUUUCCUUAUUUCUUUAUUCGCAUCUGGUUCUCCUUUGUUACUCUGUAAUGCCCUAUACUUCUCCAAAUACAGCACUUACCCACUGUAUUAUAAGUACCUGUUGAUUUGUCUCUCUCUCCCCCUUGAACUGCAAUUGAAAAAAGUAAAUGAUAAAUAUGAGUAGAAUUAAUGAAUUCAACAACAAUUUAUUAGAUACCUAGUGUAUGACAGACAGCUUUUAGGCAUUGGGGUUUGGAGCACAGUGGCAAAUAGAAUCCCUGACUUCAUGGAGUUUUUAUUGUAGUCAGAGGAAACAGAUCAUAACAAGGAAAUAGACAUCUUCACUACCUCAGAUAGUGAUAAGUGCUAUGGAUAAAAAUAACACAGGGGGCUGGGCAUGGUGGCUCACGCCUGUAAUCCCAGCACUUUGGGAGGCCUAGGUGGGAAGAUUACUUGAGCUCAGGAGUUCGAGACCAGCCUGGGCAACAUGGCGAAACCCCAUCUCUACUAAAAAUACAAAAAUUAGCCAGGCACGGUGGUGGGCGCUUGUAAUCCCAGCUACUAAGAAGCCUGAGGUGGGAGAAUCGCUUGAACCCGGGAGGUGGAGGUUGUAGUGAGCCAAGAUUGCAUCAUUGUACUCCAGCCUGGGCGACAGAGUGAGACUCUGUCUCAAAACAAACAAACAAAUAAAGCAAUGGGGAAUGCUGGGGUAGGGGAGCCCUGAAGAAGCAGCAGGAAUAAGCCCCGUGGACAGCUGGUGGAGGGGGCAUCCGGGCGGAGGGAGGGGUUGUGCAUAUGCCAAGGGCCAGGCAUGGGCAUUUGUGUUCCAGGUAUUGGGGGGUGGGGCAUGGGGAGGCCGUGAGAGGACAGUAAUCAGAUCAAAGAGAUGUAGGACCUUGCACGUCACUACAAGGAGUUAGCUUUCUUCUCUUCUUCCUCCUCCUCCUCCUCCUCCUCCUUCUUCUUUCUUUGGCUAAAGCUGUCCUCCCCUCAGCCUCUUGAGUAGCUGGGACUACAAGUGUUCACCACCACACCUGGCUGGCCUUCUAUUCUGAAUGAGUUAGGAGUCAAUGGGAGGUUUUGAGUAGGAAGAGAUAUGAUGUGGUUUUCCAUUUGGAAAGGACCCUGUGGCUGCUGAAUUGAGAAUGGUGUGAGAAAGUAAAGACUGAAGCAGAAAAACAGUUUGGAGGCUACUGCAACAAUCCAGGCAAGAAGUGAUGGUGGCUUCAUCAUGGAGGAAGGGAGCCACUCAGGUUCUGGAUAGCCUGGGAGGUUGAGCAAGCCAUGAAAUGGGAGAGAAAAAGAGGAAUCAAGCCUGAUUCCGAGACUGCUGGCAGGAGCGCCUGGAAGGAUGAUGGUUACCUUCUCUAUGGAGGGGAAGGUAUGGGAGAAGACAGCAUGGUGUGUGAAGAAGUCCAGAAGUUUGGUUUUGGACAUAUUAAGUUUCAGUUGCUUAGUAGAUAUAUCUUUCUUAUUUAUGUUGAAUUCUCCAUCCAACUUAGAGGGUAGACAGGGUUUCUUUUUCAGUAUUACAAUCUAACAGGAACUGAGAACUUACAGAACAGACCAGUAGGAACUGAAACAGUAGAAGGGUUGGGGAAGAGGGUUUUGAGUGUUUUUGUUUAAAUAUAAGGAGACAAAUUUACAUCCCACAAUCCGUUUUCCUUCAGCAACUAGUAGUACUUUUCUCGCAGUCUUUAACAGCUAGCCAGGGCCACUAGCUCUCAGUGUUGUACUCCCUUGGACUAGGUAAUUCUGAAGGAAAGAUCAGAAUAAUGAGAAGUAUGUGGGUCCUAUUGGGAAAGGCAGCCCACCAUGGACCCUGAAGGUCCCUGCCUGUUCUUGCUGAGUGUGCUGGAUUUUUUUUUUUUUUUUUUUUUGAGACGGAGUCUCACUCACUCUGUCGCUCAGGCUGGAGUGCAGUGGCGUGAUCUCAACUCACUGCAACCUCCGUUUUCUGGGUUCAAGCUAUUCUCUUGCCUCAGCCUCCCGAGUAGCUGGGAUUACAGGCAUCCACCACCACGCCUGACUAAUUUUUGUAUUUUUAGUGGAGACAUGUUGGCCAGGCUAGUUUUGAAACCCUGACCUCAGGUGAUCCGCCCUCGUUGGCCUCCCAAAGUGCUGGCAUUACAGGUGUGAGCCACUGCGUCCAGCCGAGUGUACUGGAUUUUAAGACUGAUCUGUCUCCUGAUACUGAAUGGUUUCUCUGGUUAGUCACACAGGCAAUUAAGCAGGUCAAAGUGGAGAAAGACUGGCUUAUUUGCUGCUUGCUCAAGGGCUGGGCCCUUAGCCCUGGGUUCCUCUCCUGUAAUGCAACCCACUGCAUGCGCAGGUAUCAUCUAGGACUAUCAUGUCAUCCCUGUGUUGUGUAUGGGGAAGGGAACUAGUGCAAAUAUGCUCAUGUUGUUUGCUGUGCUGUGCUGUUAGUAAUAAAAUCCUUUGUCUCUGACCCAAGAGUCUUAUGUCUUCUGCCAGCAUCAAUGAAACAGUUAACAGUGUAAGUUGGAGAAAGUUCCAGAGCUUUUACAGUUCUUGACAGGCCUCAUCUCUCUCAAAGGAGUCUAAAGCUCCAUCUGGGAUUAAGGGGUAGCUUGGGGUGAAACAUGAUGGGGAUCUGGCCAGAUGCCCCAGGUCCAGCUAGGAAGGAAUCCAUUUUCUCUUGGGGACUUUGGUACUGAAUGAAAUAUUUGGAGAUGGGAGCAAAAUGAAGGAAACAGAUUAUAUGAAGUUUAAGGGAUUAGGCUAAUUUCCAAUUUGUUGAUACUCCUUGAUUCAACAUAUAGUGGUAAACAUGAGUCCUUUUGUAAUCCCUUAGGCUUAAGUAGAAGAUGGGGACAGGUGGAAAGUGCAUUUUUAGAGUAAAGGUAGCAGAUAAUGAUUGCUGAAACAAAAGAAAUCCAAGUCCACUUUUGCCUAGGGAGGGACAGUUGGCCAGGCCACAAAAAAAAAAAAAAAAAAAAAAAAAAGAAAGAAAGAAAGAAAGAAAAAGAGCAGGGCCUGAAUUUUUACAAAGAAAAUCAGUUCGCCAUUUCCUUUUAAGAAAUUUUAGCCUGGCUAGACCACUGGUGUGCUGACUCUCCUCAUUCACAUUAAUUACUAUGGAGACCACCUCCCUUCUGUGUGGUGCUGAUGCCCAGUGAGGGACCAUCCAGCAGAUGCCUAUGGAAGUGCUGGGGGAAGUACAAGGCCUAGAAGAGUUUAUUUAUUGUCUAUGGGAACACCAGAAGGAGAUAUCAUUUCAGUAAGCAUCACCUUUUAAAAAUGGACAGUACUGGCUGGGCGCGGUGGCUCAGGCCUGUAAUCCCAGCACUUUGGGAGGCCGAGGCGGGUGGAUCACGAGGUCAGGAGAUCGAGACCAUCCUGGCUAAAACCGUGAAACCCUGUAUCUACUAAAAACACACACACACACACACACACACACACACACACACACACACACACACUCACAAAUUAGCCGGGCUUGGUGGUGGGUGCCUGUGGUCCCAGCUACUCAGCAGGCUGAGGCAGGAGAAUGGCGCGAACCCGGGAGGCGGAGCUUGCAGUGAGCGGAGAUCGCACCACUGCACUCCAGCCUGGGUGGCUGAGCAAGACUCCGUCUCAAAAAAAGAAAAAAAAAAGGACAGUUCUAAUUUAGAAACGUGCUAAAUACCUGAAGAUCUGCAAAUUUAUUAUUAUUAUCAUUAUCAUUAUUAUUAUUAUUUUGAGACAGAGUCUUGCUCUGUUGCCCAGGCUGGAGUGCAGUGGUGCAAUCUCGGCUCACUGCAACUUCUGCCUCCCAGGUUCAAGGGAUUCUCCUGCCUCAGCCUCCCGAGUAGCUGAGAUCACAGGCACGUGCCAUCACACCUGGCUAAUUUUUGUAUUUUUAGCAGAGAUAGGGUUUCACUGUCUUGGUCAGGCUGGUCUCGAACUCCUCAGCUCAAGCAAUCUGCUCGCCUCGGCCUCCCAAAGUGCUGGGAUUACAGGUGUGAGCCACCACACCUGGCCCCAAAUUUAUUGUUUAUACUAUAUGCGGUGUAAUCCUUCUUCCUUCUAUUGGAGCCCAUCUUUUUUGAGUUGAUAUCAAUGAUGAAAAAGGGAGAGAGUGCAUGAUGGCGCUUGUCUGGAACCAUUGACACAAAAAGCACACGGAUUAAUCAAUACUGCAGCAAUAGGCUUGAGUGAGAUACAGGGAAAUCUCAUUUUCCCACCAGUGAUUUCAUCAGUGGUUUAUCCUGUGGCCCCUCUAGCUUCUUCAGCCCUCUGGCUUGCCAAGUCUGUUCCUAGAGGGAUGAGGAGAGGGUUAGUUUGACACACUGUGACAAAUGUUACAUAAGUACCUGAUGUUGAUAGACAUACUCUGUCUUUCCCUUGCCCCCUUAAGAAAGUAGAAGGGUCCCUGUGGCUCAUGCCUGUAAUCCCAGCACUUUGGGAUGCUGAGGUGAGAAGAUCACUUACGCCUGGGAGUUUGAGACCUGGGCAACAAAGUAAGAUCCCAUCUGCGGAAAAAAAAAAAAAUUAGCCUGGCCUGGCAUGGUGGUGCACGCCUGUGGUCCCAGCUCCUUGAGAGGCUGAAGUGGGAGGAUUGCUUGAGACAGGAGGUUGAGGCUGCAGUAAGCCCUGAUCAUGCCACUGUACUCCAGCCUGGGUAACAGAGCAAGAACCUGUCUCAAAAAGAAAGUAGGAAAUACUUAAUUCCAAUAUUUUUUAUCCCUUUGAACUACACUGCCAUCCCCAAUAGGAAAAGAUAAGAAAAUGGAAAGAUGAUGAAAUUGAAAGAUGCCAGAAGCCAUUUUGAUAAGAAGUAGGAAGCUCUGUACUUCUAUACAUAUAUAAUACUCUUAUUUCACAGAGUGUAUUGGCUGAAUUUUUAAAAAUCUUUAUCUUCCCCCAUACAAAAUAGCCUGUCUUAUUUUAAUGUGCAAAAUUUCUUAUUACUCCUCUUACUCACUGUUCCAAGCAUUUCUAUAAAAGGACAAACAUGAUAUCUCAAACUGAAGUCUACAUCACUGACUUCCAAAUUAGAUUCUCAUUAUUUCUAUCCUCUUCUGCUCUCAUGUCUUACAACAAAAAAUGCAUUAAUUGCAGACAGUCUCUGAAUCAGGCUCCUGCAAUAGGGUUGGUGAAUUAAUGGAAGUUUCCGCAUCAUUUAAAAAACGAAGAGCACUAGUACAAAUUCAUUGUUUCUACAGCAGGGAUUUUUGUGGGUAAUCAUUAUCUGCCUGAGUCCAAAGACAGAGAUAUAAUUACAUUCUUCUCCGGGGAAUGGUCUGUUGAGAAAAACACUUCCAGCUUUGUUGCUGAGAAGCAGCAUUAGGGCUGGAAAAAAAAAAGAAAGAAAGAAAUACCGAUUAUCAUGUGUUCUGGAAGGGAGGGACUGAUGGUCUGAGAAGGAGGCAUGUACACUGCAGGUUUUUGAGUAGAGAAAUGUUUCCUCUAGGUCCUGAGCUUUUUCUAUGCAUUCCAGACCAUCCCUAGGUUGUGAUACUGGGUAACCAAACAGGCCUAUUUUUCAGGGUACCCGAACAGCCACGUAUCAGCUCUCCAACUAUAGGGUUGUCACUGUGCUGUCCACUACAGGACAUAGGAACUUCCCACAUCAGCCAUGUGUUGUUUCCCAUACAAUGGGUGGGUUUGGUAGCUUGGUGAAUGACAGUCCAAUGACCAGAACCAAAGAGGAUUGUUAACAAGGGGAUUUUCUUACUUGCAACAGAUAAGAACACCUGGUCCCAAAGCAGUACCUCCCGGGACUGGGAGCUGGAUCUAGUUUUUAUAAGCAAAGGGUAAUGAGGCAUGAUCUCACUGGAUCCUGCCAUGGGGUGACGCCACAGCUAGAUCUGAUUGGAUCCUGGAUCCUGCCAUGGGGUAACGCCACAGCUAGAUUUGAUUGGAUCCUGGAUCCUGCCAUGGGGUGACGCCACAGCUAGAUCUGAUUGGAUCCUGGAUCCUGCCAUGUGGUGUCCACUUCUUAAUCCAGUCCCCUGCCCUCAGCCUGAGCACUUAGGUUCCCCCUGUGAUUCUUGGUUCAUCUGGGCAUGCCCAGGUCACGUGACCCAAGGGUCCAGGGCAACUGAAAAACAACCCACAACUUUGUUACAUAAAAGAUGAAUCAGAUGGGUCUGGUGCUAUAAUGUGA